UACGUAGGGUGCGAGCGUUGCCCGGAUUUAUUGGGCGUAAAGGGCGCGCAGGCGGUACGGCACGUCCGUUGUGAAAUCGCUCGGCUCAACUGGGCGGGGUCAGCGGAUACGGCCGCACUCGAGCAAGCUAGGGGGCAAUGGAAUUCCCGGUGUAGUGGUGGAAUGCGUAGAGUAUCGGGGAGGAACACCAGUGGCGAAGGCGGUUGCCUGGAGCUUUGCUGACGCUGAGGCGCGAAAGCGUGGGGAGCGAUCCGG
rnacentral:rRNA from 1 species